rnacentral:rRNA from 1 species
CCUCACACUGGGGGAUAACAGUUAGAAAUAGCUGCUAAUACCGCAUAAGCGCACGGUUCCGCAUGGAACAGUGUGAAAAACUCCGGUGGUGUGAGAUGGACCCGCGUCUGAUUAGCCAGUUGGCGGGGUAACGGCCCACCAAAGCGACGAUCAGUAGCCGGCCUGAGAGGGUGAACGGCCACAUUGGGACUGAGACACGGCCCAAACUCCUACGGGAGGCAGCAGUGGGGAAUAUUGCACAAUGGGGGAAACCCUGAUGCAGCGACGCCGCGUGAGUGAAGAAGUAUUUCGGUAUGUAAAGCUCUAUCAGCAGGGAAGAAAGUGACGGUACCUGAAUAAGAAGCCCCGGCUAACUACGUGCCAGCAGCCGCGGUAAUACGUAGGGGGCAAGCGUUAUCCGGAUUUACUGGGUGUAAAGGGAGCGUAGACGGCAAGGCAAGUCUGAAGUGAAAGCCCGGUGCUUAACGCCGGGACUGCUUUGGAAACUGUUUGGCUGGAGUGCCGGAGAGGUAAGCGGAAUUCCUAGUGUAGCGGUGAAAUGCGUAGAUAUUAGGAAGAACACCAGUGGCGAAGGCGGCUUACUGGACGGUAACUGACGUUGAGGCUCGAAAGCGUGGGGAGCAAACAGGAUUAGAUACCCUGGUAGUCCACGCCGUAAACGAUGAUUGCUAGGUGUAGGUGGGUAUGGACCCAUCGGUGCCGCAGCUAACGCAAUAAGCAAUCCACCUGGGGAGUACGUUCGCAAGAAUG